UUGUCUUCUUUUAUUUUUGUCGGGGAUAUACCCUGCGGUAUGACCCGGCCGGACUUGGCGCUUCACCGUGACCCGCCGGAGGACUGGCGACGCACGGGUCUGGCGGCUCACUUUCAGAUGAAUCACGAGCCGGACGACUCACGGAUGGCCCCGACGACGGGUCAGAUAGAAGACUAGGCCCAAGGCCCAGAAGGCCGGUUCAUGUGAUGAUGGGCCGGCUUAAGAAGAAAGGGAUGACGAAUAUUUCCUUUACGAGAAAGCAAGACCCGGACUUGUAAUUAACUUGCAAGAGAAGAUAGACUAGUCCUAGUCCUACUAGGACUCCACAUGUAACCCGCCCCUCUAACUUAUAUAAGGAGGGGCAGGGCUCCCCAAAGAGGGACGAGCAACAAGAAACAGUCUCUAGGGCUAGACACAAAGAGCCGGCUUACCGGCGACUCUCUCAUAAGCAUAAUGAGACCUAGCCACAAACAGCAUGUAGGGUUGUUACCGGAUGAUGUUUCCCGGGGCCCGAAGCUGUCUAAACCCUCGUCUUGUGCGUUGAUCCGCCCUGCGUCUCUCAUCCCAAUCAACCCCUCUCAAGCUGCUACAUAGAUGCGUUGGCCUCACGACUAAGUCCUUACACCUAGGACAUCUGACGUGUUAAUUCCACGACAGUUGGCGCCCGCCGUGGGGCCCGCGCACGGUGAUGAUGAGUUCUUGGAGGGAAACGUUUAGGGAUCAAUAAGUUCGCGAUCUAGUUGAUGGUUAAAGUUCGCUUGUCAAUUUUGGAGCUAGCAGCACGAAAUUAAGUUCAAGAAAAACCAGCCUUCGCUGGUCCAAAUAAACGGUCAGAUCAAGAGUUGCCAACACCAUCGUUUUUCACUACAACCUGUUUUCGUCGGCUGGGUAAAUCUUGAUCUGUAAUCAUGUGGUUGGAGCUCCGUUUGUUCGGUGCUGGUUUACCAGAUCAGAAGUGCAGAUCAGCAGACGCGAUGAGCCGCCAUCGAGUCCCAAUCAAGUUAUAAUCAGACUAUGGAUCGGACACCAUUUGGGAAGAUUGAUAAGGAAUUGAUUGCUAGCUACAGGGAAGGAGAUUGUUCUGUUGACCGAGUCUGAAGCGGCAUCACGCCGAGUCUAACUCACCCUUGUCUAACGCCAGCGCCUCUUGCUGACCCCAGUCACGGCUCUGUCGCAAUCACCUCAAGCGUGGCACAAUUUUGACCCGCCGAGCCAUGGUCAAUACCUCUACCACUGACCUGGAGCGCCACGACCUCGCUUCGCUUGGCCUGGAGCCACUAUAUCCAACGACCCAAACAAGGACACGGACGGGGGGAUUGGACUCGGACUCUGCGCCUCUGUCAGUCGCCGCCGACGGUCGUCUCUGUUCUGGCUGCGGCUAGCUGAGGCGCCUUGGAGGUUCCAACCCGCCGUCUUCAGCCGCCUCGAGCAACCCUUGCUGAGCCACCGCGGUGCCGUCCGCUCUUCGCUGCUGUGACCCAAGGCCUCGAGUUGCCGCGCACCUCUGCAGCUCUGCUUGAGUUGCCAUACGCAGCGUCGCCGAGCCACUACUUCGAAGCCGGCCAUGACCCGGACUCGACCGUCGUCCCCGCCCACAUCAAUGCCUUGAGGCGCCCGCCUCUGCUGAGCCGCUCCGGUCUCCAAUCACCUCCGGGCUCGCAGCGCCCGUGGGCCGACUCCGCCUUGCUGCCUGGCACGUCGCUUCUCUGGGCAACCCGCCUCCAACCGCGCCCUGAGCCGCCGCCGCCCAGGCCAUCUUCUGCGCUGUCGUACUGCUUCUGAGCCGCCCGGGACCCCUCGCCGGCGGGACUAAGUCGGCCCCGCGACUCUGUCGCCUCGAGUCGCCUGCCGCUGCGGCCGCGAGCCGCCUUCGCUCGCCUCGACAACAAGCCGCUUCCACCACGGCUGCACCUCACCAGCGCGCUUCCGCUGCUGGGUCUCGCCUCUGCUGAGCCGCCUGCCUCAAAUCGCCGCCCUCCAUGCAUCCUCUAUCUGAACCGCCGUCGGUCCUUUUGGUCUACAUUAAAGCACGUCAGAGACCGCGCUGGAGUCUGCCCGCGCGGCACUGCUGUCCGAUACUACAAGGAUUAAACUAAAGAAAGAAAAAAGGAGCAGAUUACAAGCCAGACAUUUGAUUCCUCGGGUUCACGAUCGCUAGUGUUUUGCAUCAUCAAAAAAAAUAGAGCUACACUACACACUGCUAUAUGGUCCGGUUCCCUAUGUUUUGGUUUAAUGGACAAACUGCAAGAUCGUUUGUGAAUUAUGGCAGUCUGCCGUUGUCCUUGGGUCAAUUUUAGCUGCCAACUCGCCGGCCCGGAGGACCGGGUUGUGUCCAUACGCUAAAGGCCUGUAGACAGAGGCAUGUUCUGCCCGUCAUCCCUGCGUUUCAGUAUACAUCAACACGCUAGAUCACCCGGCAGAUACCCACGUACAGUUUACUGCCUUACAGUAUGCCAACUUCAGUACAACAGUCAAGCUGCCAUGCUCGCCUCUGCUGCCUCCGUCGAGCGAGAUAGGUUUUUUGGUCUGUUGUGACCUUGUGCAGACAAGUUACCAAGAUUGAGAUCAUGCAAAAAAAGGAGUUCUAUGUACGUACGUGGCAUGCUGUUGUAGAGGAGGAACAUGCGCGUCCCAAACUUUAUGGGCAAGUUAUACCCUGUUGAAGAUGAUACAGCAAUUGCAUGCAACUGUUGAUCAUCAAAUGUUUACUCCAUCACCAGUUUGUCUACAGAGUUACAUCCGGAUUAUCUGUCGUCCGGAAAAAUCCAGGUGCUAUCUUCUCUAUAUAUUUUAUUAACACAUAUUAAAUUGUUUGAGAACAAUUACUCUGUCUUUCAAUAUAUUUUAUGCAGGACAAAGCCCACUAUAAAAAUGGCGUCGUGCCAUGGACAGGAGGCUCGCACCGGUUUAAAUGUUGUGGCCAAUUCUCGCGCCUACGCCGGAUUAAAUGUCGUGGCCAACUCUCGCACCUGCACCGACUACCGCGGCCGACUCGAUAAUCCGCACCCGUGCGGGUUGGUUUCCAACACCGCGGCCGACUCACCCAGUCGGGCUUACAAUGCCGCGGCCGGCUCUCCCGUCCGCACCGCCUUACAACGCCGCGGCCGGUUCAUUCGUCUGCUCCCGCGGCCGACUCGCCCGUGGUGAUCAUCAACUCUGCGGUGGAUAAUUUCUGGCCUAACAUAUCAGGGUGAAAUCUGUCCGAUCAAUUUUUAUUGAUACAUUUUUUAUUCUUUAAAAGAACAAAUUACUCCGGCUUGCGAUAUUAUUUAUGCAGGAGCAAUUGUUCAUCGCAAAAGCUAUGGCUGUAUUAUGGAUGUCUAGUUUGCACUACCAUUAUAAUGCGGUAGCAUCUGACCACACCAUCAAGCUCGGUGAAUAUAUCUGCAAGCCGCCAUCAACAUGAUGUGGUUAACUCGCCCGUUCUCAUCGGUUUACGAUGCUGCGGCCGACUCAUCUGUCCGAGCCGCUACUGAUGCUGCGGUCGUCUUUACCGUCUGUCUCUCGCAGCCUGGUUUACAUCAACACACCGGGCCGCACCUGUCUGCAUGAGUUGUUUAUUGAGUAUGAGCAAGUCACAGUUUGGGUAGCCCGGUUUUCUUUCAACAAAAUGGAGGCAAAUUGUCAUAUACUAUCAACCGUCGUCUGCACUGGGUGGCCCAAUGGGCAGGCGCACAAGUCGCCGCCACUACAGUUUGGUUAACUUCAAAUAGCCAGUUGAAACAAACCAUUGGCCGAGUUGCUGGCACGGCUCAUACGGGAUCAUUUAUAACCCGCCGCAGUCACCUCAACCUUCUGUGGAUACACAUCGUGCUAUCAACACCAAUGAUAUACAAGUUAUGUCGGUUUAUAUCACGGUUAAAUAUGGAGAAUCUCAAGCCAACUCCUCGAGUCAUCUUGAGACUCGGGGGCUACAGUGACAUGACUCGGGAACCCCGGGUCAUUGGAGGGAAUGAUAACCCGGUUCCGGAGGCUGCUACCAUAUUGAUGAAGCUUUAAAGGCCGUCAGAAAAUUACCGGUUCAAAUAAAGAUUCUGGUUUAAAAUCCGGUUCAAGAGAUAUCUUUCUCCCGCAAAGUUUUGAAGCUCUCAAAUCCGGUUCAAACGUCCGGCUCAAGGUAAAUUUAUAUCUUAUAAAGCGUUGAAGCUUUUAAUAUCCGGUUUACAAAUUUCCGGUUCAAAAGAGGUUAUCUCUCGCAAAGUUCGAGUUCUCAGGAAAAAUUAAAGGGACCAAAGAGAGUCUGUUACAAAGCACAACUCAUAUAUAGGGACCCUGCUUUAAUGACCAUUGGGAGCUGAUCGUAUUUGAAUUUAGCUUAACCCUUUUGGUGUGACCCUGAUCGUAUUCGAAUCAGAGUCGUUAAAUAUUCUCAUGAUCACUAGGGGGCUUCCUGUUCAAACAUAGGUCGUAUUCGAACCAAAGAGAACAUAGCUGUCGAUACCCUUUUGAUCGGCACACUGCCGAGCUCAUUGGGGGAGUUUCUUGGUCAUAUUUGAACCAUAGCUCAACCCCCUUUGGGAACCGACGUGGAUCGUAUUCGAAUCAGUGUCGUUAAACAACUCUUAAGGUCAUUUGGGGGCUUCCUGUUCAAACAUAGGUCGUAUUCGAACCAAAGAGAACAUAGCUGUCGGUACCCUCUUGAUCGGCAACGCCAAAGCCACUGGGGGCUAUAUGAUCGUAUUCGAAUCUUAGCUUAACCCCUUUGGGACGGUUUUUCUGAUCGUAUUCGAAUCAGAAGCCUCAAAAAUUUUGAAGUCUCUUUUUGAAAACAAAAUUUGGAUUUUAUUUGAAGCUCUUUUUCAUAUCUAAAGUGUAUAUGAGUGGUUGUUAUUUAACCCGGCUUGAUUUUCAAUGGUAAAUCGCCAGCUUAUGACAAUCAUCAUCUAUGUGGAAGCAUUGGGUUCUGAGGAUUGGGUUAUCGCCCUUAUUACACAGGUCAUGUAAACCGGCAGUACAAAUUCAAUAUCAUAGUGGUUAUAUGGGAGACAUUAUGACCCGCCUUGCGGUAAACCGCCAAGGAUCUUGCGAUAUACUUGUGUGCAGGAUAAGACUACAUUUGGGUGGUUACCCGCCCUGGCUUUUGAUAUUAAGUCGCCAGGGCGUAUGUUGUUUAAAACUCUGUGCAGGAGCAGAACUGUGACUUAUACAAAUGCUUAAGUUCAAGCUCAUCAUUAAAAUUGAUGCUUCAAAAUGAUUAUCCGUUCUGGAUUUUCUCCAAGGAUAUAAGCCACCGGGUUCUAAAAAUUCCGGCUUACAAUGGAGGCAUAUUAAAUCGCCAUCGGCCAAGAGCCGCCGGGUAUUUAAACUCCUGAUUUACUUAUCAACAGAUGAGGUAUUCAAAGUCGCUUUGGCGCAAUGGCUAUUAUUUUAUCAAUGGAUAUGAUUUAUUCUACAAUGGAAGGAAUAGUCCCGAGUCGCUGCAGGCUUACGACCUGGCACUUGGGGGCUACAUUAUUCAAAUUGAUAUUACAUCAAAUAUGCAAGUCCCAUGUCACUGCCAGCAUGCACCAUGGCACUUGGGGGCUAAUGCAAAGUCAUUUUUUGCUCAACUUAUUGAAGACCCGACUCAUCACAUUCUAAAUGAGCCGGCCCGUAGGGGCUACCAAUUGCUCCUGUCGAAAAUUCAAGGUACACAAGCCUUAAUCCAUUAUAUUGAAAAAGAUCCACUAUUCAGUUGGUAGAGUACAAAGCUCUUAACCUUGUGGACGUGGGUUCAAGCCCCAUGGUGGAGAUUACAUCAUAUACUGUUAUUAUCAAUGAAUCAUAUACAAAGUCCCAGCUCGGUAAUAUCUUACUGACCCGGGCCUUGGGGGCUACGCUGGUUGAAGUUUAUAUGAGCAUAAGGCAAUUACAAGUCCCAGGAUGCUGCAAGCAUGACAACCCGGCCCUUGGGGGCUACAGGUAAUAUGGAUAUAAGGGAGAAAUAUCUUCAAAUUCUCAGUUUUGAGUAAAUCAGAUUGACCUGGUGUCCGCAAAAAUCAUAAACCGGCGUCGGUGACAAUUAUGACUUGGCAUCAUCUAUUUAUAACCCGGCAAUUUUGGUACUCAUAAACCGGCAAGUUUUAUAUCUUUAAGCCGACUGAAUAUAAGUUGAAUAUUUGAAGACCAAUAUUUUUGUCAAGUCAGAGCAUUGAAAGCUGACUCAAGUGGAUUAUCUCUUACAAUAUUUCUCAACAAGAGACCAAUGUCAGUAAAUUGACUCUGAAGCUGGCCUGUUGACCCGGAUUUUUCAAAGGAAGUAUCUGGAUUUUUUGCAUUGGCAAAAUUUGAACAUAUCUGCUAAAGAGAUUUGCUAUGAGAUUAUGGAUACAUAUCAAGAAGGAAGAUGACAAGGAAAUAAGGAUGAUCAUGUGCCGCCUUACAAAGAAUAUUUAACCCAGAACACAACCUGUCAAAUUUGUUCUUGUGUUUAUAUUGCAGAUUAGUUUAAAAUGGAUAAAUCCAAAUUAAACUGGGGGCUAAUGUUGGGGAUAUACCCCGCGGUAUGACCCGUCCGGAAGUAUGACCCGGCCGGACUUGGCGCUUCACCGUGACCCGCCAGAGGACUGGCGACGCACGGGUCUGGCGGCUCACUUUCAGAUGAAUCACGAGCCGGACGACUCACGGAUGGCCCCGACGACGGGUCAGAUAGAAGACUAGGCCCAAGGCCCAGAAGGCCGGUUCAUGUGAUGAUGGGCCGGCUUAAGAAGAAAGGGAUGACGAAUAUUUCCUUUACGAGAAAGCAAGACCCGGACUUGUAAUUAACUUGCAAGAGAAGAUAGACUAGUCCUAGUCCUACUAGGACUCCACAUGUAACCCGCCCCUCUAACUUAUAUAAGGAGGGGCAGGGCUCCCCAAAGAGGGACGAGCAACAAGAAACAGUCUCUAGGGCUAGACACAAAGAGCCGGCUUACCGGCGACUCUCUCAUAAGCAUAAUGAGACCUAGCCACAAACAGCAUGUAGGGUUGUUACCGGAUGAUGUUUCCCGGGGCCCGAAGCUGUCUAAACCCUCGUCUUGUGCGUUGAUCCGCCCUGCGUCUCUCAUCCCAAUCAACCCCUCUCAAGCUGCUACAUAGAUGCGUUGGCCUCACGACUAAGUCCUUACACAUAGGACAUCUGACGUGUUAAUUCCACGACAAUUUUGGUUCCGUAGUCGGACCUAUGUGUGUAUCUUGAAUGAUGUAUGAUUUUAUUCAUGUAUUUUUGUGAAGUGGCGAUUGUAAGCCAAUUCUUUAUCCCAUUCUUGUUCAUUACAUGGGAUUGUGUGAAGAUGACCCUUCUUGCGACAAAACCACAAUGCGGUUAUGCCUCUAAGUCGUGCCUCGACACGUGGGAGAUAUAGCCGCAUCGUGGGUGUUACAAGUUGGUAAUCAGAGCCAUCCCCGACUUAGGAGCCCCCUGCUUGAUCGAAUCGCUGGUGUUGUUGAGUCUAGAAUAAAAAAAAAUUUGAGUCUUAGGAUUAUAUAUAUAUCGGAGAGUAGGAUUCUUUUUACUUCUCAGUCCCUUCGUUGCACUGGUGAGGCCUCCUGACGUAGAAGUUUUGACUUUUCUCUCCUCAAAUUUCAAUUAAAAAAAUUUAGGAUCACGCGGGUAUCUUGGAAUCGUUCCGAUGGUUUUGUGACGAGAACAUUGUUCUUGGUGCCUCCUGACAUUUAGGGGUUGUGGCAGUGUCCCGGGGAGUUGAGCUCCGAGGUGUUGUCGUCACAAUUUUAUCGUUGCAGUUCUGGAAUACCUGAGUUUCGCCGACAUAAAAAUCUCUUUUAUGCAGUUGUUGGUGAGAUCACCUCGACGCCACCCAGUACUAGGGCGGGAGUUCAGGAGUAUUGCCAUAACUCGUAUAACGGAUGCUUUUCGAAGGUUGAGGUAAACGAUUUCCGAAGUUUUCUUGGUUAUGUGUUGACGGAUGGAUACAACUGGAUCUAGGGAUUGUUAGUUUGGGUGAUAUAUUUUGUGUCCCCUGUAUCCCCAACACCAAAUUGCAUAACCAGAAAGUUUCGGGAGUUUAUAAGUGGGAAUUCAAGUAGCUCUUAGGAUAUCUUUCCGACAGAUGCAUGAUAUGAGAUUGGGAUUCGACGUCUAGUGGUCCGCCUUUCCACGGUUGGUUUUACAGUGGUCUCGUAGUGUCUUAAAGAGUCCUUGGCUAUGCCGACUCGGGGACGCUUCGUAUGUCAUGUGCACUGCCUUGUACAUGAUGGUGCUGUACGAUCGAGCCCGUGUGGGCCCCACCACGAAAACUUCGGACGAAAUCUCUAUCAUAUGUUUGUUCCGGCUUAUUUUGCAAGCCAAUCCUUUGUUUUGUUUUAUUUGUGGUAUUCGAUUUGCUUCGAAGUCAAAUGUUGAAUCCAUACCUUUCCUAAACGGUGUUCUCAUAUUGCUAUGUGAAUACUAAUCCUUCUUGAUCAGCGAGGUCGUCAUUUAAUUCUUUUCCAACCGGCGUGUUUCUCUUUUAGUGGAUCCGAUCAUUUUCAACAUCCGUAAGAUCAAUUCUAAGCUUUUUCUCAACGGUGUUCAUUUCAUCCGAUCCAAGUUGCCUUUGUUUUUCCCGCCCUCCCACCCUUUUUCUUUAAGGACUCAGAUUUCUCAAUCAUGUAUCCUUUUAUUGAUGCGAAGUCUCUUCAUUCUUUUCUUUCAAUGUUCUUAUCCGGUGAUUUUCCAUGAAGAUGCUCACGAAACUUCAAGUUCAUCAUUCAUCAUUCUUGUAUUCUUCUCCGGUGGAUUAAAUUCAAGCUUUGUCGAUCAUAUCUUUUCCUUGUUUCAAAUGUUUUUCUCGUACCGGUGCACCUCUUAAUCUUCCACUUCUCGCUAUUCAAUUGUUCCGGAGUGAUGAAGAUAUCUCAGAAGAUUCAAGUUUCCAUUAUCAAUUCACUCAAGUUCUUUUGAGGAUGCUAUCUCAUUCAAGCCAUUUAAUUCAACUAGUGCGAUCUCUCUUUUAAAUCAUUCCAACGGUGUAUCUUUUGAGUGGGCCCUAACCCACAGGUCUUUUUCCAGGAUCUUACCUGACUCUUCUAAUUCUUUUCGGAGCUAUUCCUAAAUUCUUUUCGAAGUUUGACGUAAGAAUGAAUUAUCAUCAGUCAUGUCUUUCUCCAAGAUCUUUUAAAUUCUUUUUGUCGUUGGUUCAACCUUUCCAAUUUUCAUUCCGGAGUGCCUCAAUAAUUCUUGAUGGUGUUUCUCAUCGUCAUUCUCAACAUUUGAAGACCGAAGAAGAAUUUCUCCUAAAUCUUGGUCCGUUCUCUUGAAGAUUCAUAGUUCUAGCUUAUGCCAUCCUCUCAUAAUUGUUUCCAAUCGCGCAAUUCUUUUCAUACCCAUCCGUAGCAUUUUAGAGUUGUUUUCAUUUAUGAUCAUCCAAAGGCCAUCAUUUCAGAAGAUUUCUUCGUUCUCCAAUUAUUCUAAAUUGAUGAAGCUCUCGUUCUCCAAAUCUUACUGGUGCAUCAUUCAAAUAUCCUCUAAUCAGUUCGUGAUCUCUUCGUUCUCAUAUAUUUAUAUUCCGCCAAGUAUCUUUAUUCAUUUUUCUAAAUCUUCUCGGUGAAUUGUGCCUUUGCUACUUUCAUUUUCAAUUCUUACGGUGGUUCGUUCAAGAUUUCUCUUCCUUCGUUAUCAUAUCAAUUUAUUCAUUGUUUCUAUUCUACCGAUGGUUCGAUGAAGACCUUCCCAAGUUUGUGUUAUAUCUCUCUUAAUCCUUUCUACGAGGAUAAGUAGUAUGACAAAUCCAUUGCUUGUCAUCAAUUAAUUGGUGAAGGAUGAUGAGCAUAAUGUAAUUCUUAUUCUUGUUUCAUCAAGUAAAUUCAAUUCCUUAUUCCGGAGGUUCAUCAAAAUUCUUGAUUUCAUUUGUUCAUCUUUCUUUCCGGAGUUCCAAAUUUUCUCGGUUAUAUCAUUUCAAAGCUUCAUCUUAUCACUGCAAGGUUUCACCUUGUGUUUUCAACUCCUCUUUAUUUUAUCAUCCUUUUAUUACCGGAGUUCUUCAUGGAGAAUAUACAUGGUGGUUCAUCAAGGAUUUAAAUCAUUCUCGAAGUGUUCUUCAAGAUUCUUGUUGGAGCUCAAGCAUUCUUGCAUUCCGAAGUGCAAUUAUUUCUACCUUAUCUUUUGAGGUGGUGUUAUGUCAUUCUUGACAAUUUCCCUUCAUGCUUCAUGAUUCACAUGUUGUCAAGAACGAGGUAUUUUAAAUCCAUCAAUCUCUUCAUUGGAGUUAUCUUGGGUUAUAUUUCACCUAAAGCUUUCCCUAAGGAUUGUUGCUAUUUAUGGUGCUUAUAAAUGACCCAAGUUCUUCAUUUGUCCUCCUGGUGAAAUAAGUUUCUCGUCUCCUUGUUGAUAUAAAUCCAAUCUGUGGUUUUUCGUUAGUGGCAAAAUUUCACCUCAAGUUUGAGAUGUUUCCAUAAGCCCACUAAAAGCUUAUUCUUUUCGUUGUUGGUUUUCCAACAACUCCGUUCAAUCCUACUUCGUAAGGAUGCUCUUUAAAUUCAUUUAUGGUAGGAGAUGUUGGUUUCAUUCUUCGUUCUAUUCAUUCCAACUAUCUUCUAUUAUUUCUUCCGGAGGUUUUGUGACGUUGCUCUCUUCGACCAAUCAUCUUGUUUUCUCAAGAUCAUGCAAUUUUUCCUUUCUUAUCCGUUUUACCGGAGUGUCAUGUUUUCAUUCGAGUUCUCUCAUCUUAUCAAGUUUCGUCUCCUUCCUCAACCGGAGUGCUGUCUGAAAUCUUUCUUACCCCUUGUGUCAUUCUUUCUUUAGUUCCGGAGGCAAUGUGUUGUUAAUUUCAUCGAUUAUCCUCUCAUCUUGUCAAGAUCAUGUUCAAUUCCUUCCAUUUACAGUCGGAGUGCUGUCCAAAUUAUAUCAUUCUCAUUCCUUCUUUAUCUUGUUUUAACCGGAGUGUUGUGUCUAUCAUUCCUCUUCUAACCGGAGUCUCAUCCAAGUGCUUUCACUUUGCCAAGUCCAUAUUGUACCUCUUCCAUUUUCCAACCGGAGCGUUAUUGUAAUUGAUCUUUAUCGUUCCUUAUACAUCUCGUUUCAACCGGAGUGCUUGUUUGUACUUCUUGUCCAUCUUAACCAUUUUUGUUUGUUUUUCAACCUACAAGGUUCUUGUAAUGGUCCUUGUUCCUCUUGCUGAACGGAGUGUUGUAAAUUUUGUUCACCUCCGUCGUGUCAUUUCUUCAAGCUUUGCGACCUCUCAAGGUUCUUUGGUUUCACUCGUUUGUCAAAGAAGCAAUUUGUUUUACCUCUUCCUCUCCCAUUUCUCUCCGGUGCCAUCCUAGAUCUCGGGACGAGGUCCUCUUGUAGUGGUGGAGUGUUGUAACGCCUCGAGACCGACGGUUCAUAAGACUUCCAUAUUCUCGUGAUCACCGUGUGUUUCUUUUGGUGCAUGCUCUUUUAUUUUUGCAUUGCAUCAUGUCAUCAUGCCAUCAUGUCAUUAAUCUUUGCAUCAAAACUCAACUAAAUAAAUUGCAUGGAUCUUCGAUCCAUUUAAAUCGAGGGAAUUCACAUGGUGAUUUCUCUGUAUAACAUAUCCUCCUAAUAUUUAUGGAGCUAUUAUAAAUAUUCCAUUAGUUUGGAAUUAACCGGAACACACUUGCAAAUUAAUUCCCAUGCCUAUUUCCACUUCAAGUUUCACCUCCAAGCUUUGCCAACAAUUCUUUUCCCUCUUAUCGAGGCCCUUCCUAAAUGUUCAACAUUUUGGACACUUUGUAAUCCUACUCCUUGUUCAAACCAUUUGAAUUUAAACCGUGCAAUCUUACCCACUCCGUUUUUCUUGGAACGAGCAUAUUUUUGUGAUGUCCGGGAAAUUAUCCGCGUGUCCAACUUCUUAACCUAACCUCUCUUUCUUUUCUUCAGUUCUCUGUUUUUUUAUAAAGAAAAGAAGGAAGAAGGGGAGAGAGCCCAGCCAGCCUCCCAGGCCGGCCCAUCCUUCCCCGCGGCCAUUUGCCCCUCCAAGGCCUACCAGCUCGCGCCCCCUUAACCCUAGCGAACAUCUCCCCUCUCCCUCUCGUUCCCUCUGCUCGCCGCCACACACGCACGCACGCACCGAGUCAGGGACUCCCUGCGCCCGAUCCCCUCGCCUCCAUCCUCCUCGAGCCGGCCUCCCCGCCUCUGGCUACGACCGCCGCCCGUCGUGCCUCUCCGCCGCCGCCAUGAAUGCCCGCAGGAGCGCCAACGCCACCAGGCCGCCGUCCCGCGCCCAAGCUCCUCCGCCCCGAGCUCCGUUCGCUUCGGGCACCGGCCGACUGGAUCCGCCCGUCUUCGCUGUUCCCGGCGCUGUCGGAGCCAUGCUUCGAGUCCUCGUCGUCAAGCUCCACGCCGCUCGCCAGCCUCGUCCGCUCCGCCCCUUCCUCUGCUCCACCUCCUUAGCAUCGAGCGCCGCCCUUCGCGCCCCUCCGUCGUUUGCUUCGGGCGCCUCCGACCUUCCUCGCGCCUGAUCUGCUCCAAGCCACGCCACCGGCCGAGUUCCUCGACCUGCGCGCGUCCCGGAGUCCCUCGCCCACUGCUGCACGUUCCAGUCGUUGCUCCUCUCGGCUGCGCCUGUACGUCGACGCCAAGUUCCGUUGCCUGCUCGCCGCCAUCGCCCUAGCAGGAGCUCCGCCUCCCUUGCUUCAUGCCAAGACCAACGUCGGUCACUUCUUCCAGCAGCUGCUCGGCCAUGCCCCGACGACCAGCAGCUCGAGCUACCUCCUGUGACCUCCCGAGGCAGGGCCUUGACAAGUCCCUCGAUGCCCCUUCAGAUGUGUCAAUGCCUCUGUUUGACCCAUGUACAACUAUCCGGUGAUGCGCCAAGUACCCCCCUUGGAUCGUCAAGUUCGACUACACGGAACCGCCAAGUACCACUACGAUUGCCGUGUACAUCUACGGACGCCAAGCCCGGAACAACAAGUACCCUGACAACGUGGGUAACUCUAGCGUCGACCCCGUGGACGUCAAGUACCUCUACCGACGACCGCGAAAAUUUACGAAAACGUGUACCACUACCGUCGCCGUGUACCACUACUUCCCUCGGCGACCCGUGAACAACUACUUCCACUACCGUCGAACCCGAUCCACUCCGAAAAUGCACGCUUCGAAGGUAUAACCGCCGAGACGACGCCCGUGAACGAAUGAUUGUGAUGUAUGAGUUGCUCAUGUUCGAACCGUGUCCCAGUUGUCGCUUGCGCGUUCCUUGUUUCCAUGCCACCGUACCGUGGGUACCCGGAAUCCGGGAGCACCCCACCAUCCUUGCAUGACAAGCUCACGCCCACUCCUUGUGCACCGGUAUCUCCGUGAGCUAUCGGAACCGAUAUGUUGCCGUGGCAUCAUUUUCGGACUCGUUGCCGUGGUACCCCUUUCUUCCACCACGGUGACAAAUGCUUCAUAACAUGUUCAUGUCAAUAUUUUCAUAAAAAUUGAUUAAAACUUGCAUUGUCAUCCGCAUCAUGAUAACAACAUUUAGAUGUUUAAAAUUGUGUUUGUAUUAAAUUGCUAAAUGACAUGAGGAUUUAUCGGAAUUGUCGUUUGUUAUUUCCGGCCUCAUUUAAACUUGCCUAGAUAGGUUGUUUAAUUAUGCUUCACCCCUAGCCGUGGUUAACAACAUUUAAUAUUGUUGUGUACUUAAAACAAGAGCGAACUAAAUAACUCGAAUGUGGUGUUUCGUCAAUAUGCAACUCGUUGCAUAUUGAGCUCCACUUAACUUGUAGUUUCGUAUGUGCAUUUGGCCAUGCCAUGCCUCAUUAAACCGGACAUGCAUCAUACUUGAUUGUGCAUCAUGCCAUGUUUAUGUGGUCGUUUUUUACUAUGUGGUUUGUUUCUUUCCGGGUUGCUUCUCUCGUUAGCUUCGGUUUCUUUCCGGAGUUGUGAGGAUUCGUUCGACUCCGUCUGUUUGUCUUCUUCAUGGACUCGUUCUUCUUCCUAGCGGGAUCUCAGGCAAGAUGACCACCCCUCAAAAUCACUUCUAUCUUUGCUUUGCUAGUUGCUCGUUCUAUUGCCAUGCUGCGCUACCUACCACUUGCUAUAUCAUGCCUCCCAUACUGCCAUGUCAGCCCCUAACCUUUUCACCCUUCCUAGCAAAACGUUGUUUGGCUAUGUUACCGCUUUGCUCAGCCCCUCUUAUAGCGUUGCUAGUUGCAGGUGAAAAUUAAGUUUGUUCCAUGUUGGAACAUGGAUAUGUUGGGAUAUCACAAUAUCUCUUAUUUAAUUAAUGCAUCUAUAUACUUGGUAAAGGGUGGAAGGCUCGGCCUUAUGCCUGGUGUUUUGUUCCACUCUUGCCGCCCUAGUUUCUGUCAUACCGGUGUUAUGUUCCUUGAUUUUGCGUUCCUUACGCGGUUGGGUGAUUUAUGGGACCCCCUUGACAGUUCGCUUUGAAUAAAACUCCUCCAGCAAGGCCCAACCUUGGUUUUACCAUUUGCUACCACCUAUCCCCUUUUCCCUUGGGUUCUGCAGACUCAAGGGUCAUCUUAUUUUACCCCCCGGGCCAGUGCUCCUUCGAGUGUUGGUCCGAACUGAGUAGACUGCGGGGCCCCCUCGUGGAAACUCGAGGUCUGGUUUUACUCGUAGGAUGUCUCAUCCGGUGUUGCCCUGAGAACGAGAUAUGUGCAGCUCCUAUCGGGAUUUGUCGACACAUCGGGCGGCUUUGCUGGUCUUGUUUUACCAUUGUCGAAAUGUCUUGUAAACCGGGAUUCCGAGACUGAUCGGGUCUUCCUGGGAGAAGGAAUAUCCUUCAUUGACCGUGAGAGCUUAUAAUGGGCUAAGUUGGGACACCCCUGCAGGGUAUUAUCUUUCGGAAGCCGUGCCCGCGGUUAUGUGGCAGAUGGGAAUUUGUUAAUGUCCGGUUGUAGAGAACUUGACACUCGACUUAAUUAAAAUGCAUCAACCGCGUGUGUAGCCGUGAUGGUCUCUUUUCGGCGGAGUCCGGGAAGGGAACACGGUUUUUUAGUUAUGUCUGACGUAACUAGAAGUUGAGGAUCACUUCUUGAUCAUUGCUAGUUCACGACUGGUCCGUUGCUUCUCUUCUCGCUCUCCUUUGCGUAUGUUAGCCACCAUAUAUGCUUAGUGCUUGCUGCAGCUCCACCUCAUUACCUCAUCUUUCCUAUAAGCUUAAAUAGUCUUGAUCUCGCGGGUGUGAGAUUGCUGAGUCCUCGUGACUCACAGAUACUUCCAAAAUAGUUGCAGGUGCCAGGGAUACCAGUGCAGGUGACGCAACGGAGCUCAAGUGGGAGCUCGAUGAAGAUUUUGUUUGUUGUGUUGUUUCUUUUCAUGUUGAUCAGUAGUGGAGCCCAGUUGGGACGAUCGGGGAUCUAGCAGUUGGGUUGUCUUGUUUUAUUUUGGUUCCAUAGUCGGACCUAUGUGUGUAUCUUGAAUGAUGUAUGAUUUUAUUCAUGUAUUUUUGUGAAGUGGCGAUUGUAAGCCAAUUCUUUAUCCCAAUCUUGUUCAUUACAUGGGAUUGUGUGAAGAUGACCCUUCUUGCGACAAAACCACAAUGCGGUUAUGCCUCUAAGUCGUGCCUCGACACGUGGGAGAUAUAGCCGCAUCGUGGGUGUUACAUGUGUUGCCAUCCUAUGAUGUUUUGAGUAGAUAUCCUUUGUCUUUUGGGUUGAUUGAUGAUCUAGAUUGGUACAAGUUGUAUGUUUUAUUUUGGUGCUGCCCUAUGGUGCCCUCCAUGUCGCGCAAGCAUGAGGGAUUCCCGUUGUAGGGUGUUGCAAUACGUUCAUGAUUCGCUUAUAGUAGGUUGGUGAGUGACUGAAACACAAACCCGAGUAAGGGGGUUGUUGCGUAUGGGAAUAAAGAGGACUUGAUGCUUUAAUGCUAUUGUUAGGUUUUACCUUAAUGAUCUUUAGUAGUUGCGGAUGCUUGCUAGAGUUCCAAUCAUAAGUGAUAUGAUCCAAGUAGAGAAAGUAUGUUAGCUUAUGCCUCUCCCUCAUAUGAAAUUGCAAUGACGACUACCGGUCUUGUUAACAAUUGCCUAGGACAAUUUCGCACACCGAUCCACCAUUAUUCCACACUCGCUAUUUAUAAUACUUAGUAAUAUUCUAACUUUAUGAUAACAACACCUACUUUUAUAUUUUAGCUCUCCGAUACUAUGCAAAGUUAUCUUCUUCAUACCCACAACGUAGUUUUAUUUCUCGUUUCUAGUUGGAAGCAAACGUUCGAUGUACGUAGAGUCGUAUUAGUGGCAGAUAGGGCUUGAUUGAAUAUUGAUCUUACCUUUAGCUCCUUGUGGGUUCGACACUCCAUACUUAUCACUUCCACCUUUGGAAAUUGCUACGAUGAUUCCUUGCACUUGGGGAUUAUCAAAGGUAUGUAGUAUGUAUUAUGUAGGUUUAUGCAAACCUGAGACUUAAUUGAGAAUUUUAGUUUCUUUAUAAGAAAUUUUUUGAUCUAUUUUUAUGUGAUAUUGGUAAUUAGUUAGAACAUUCACGUGUCAUAUUUGUUGUUAGUUUUUUUUGGCGGACCACCCUGCUGUUAAAUGCUAGCUCCACCACUGGUUACCCUCUUCUGGAGCUCCAAACAUAAUUUUAUAAUACUUAGUAAUGUAAAAUUUGAGUUGCUCAUGGCCUUCAAUCAUACCGUCUUUUUGUAUAAGGGAAUGAAUAAGUUUCUUCCAGUGUCUGCCAUUGGCUAUACCAUGGAAGUAUCUGGUAUUCGAAUCCCCUUUGAGAAUAAAUCGAGAGUCUGAAUGCUGGUACCAUUGGAGCUCCUCUUCUCUCAGAAGUCGAGCUAUCCAUGCAUUCGAUUGACUCUUAAUCUCAAUCUCAUGUUCAGAUAGCGGUCGAACUUCUGGCAAAGCUUCUAAGUCAUUGAUAAUGGACGUGAGACGACGCUUUCCUUUUUUGAGGAUACUCGCAGUAUGAAUAGCCCAACCACCAAGGAAUUUACAUAUUGCAUGUAUUUUAUUAUUCCAUUUGUGUAUUGGAGUAAGCCCGGUAACAGGUUUCUCUCACACCUCCUUGACCAUAUCAUGAAGCCAUCGCGGAGUAGCCAACCAAGGAUGGGGGCAUGGUCUAAUAGAGCUUCAACAUGAGGUAACGUACACACGGAAACCAUAGGGAAUUUAGAUUCCCAUUUGGUAUCCAUUAACACGCGAUCUAAUUUCUCGUAUGUCGGUUCUUGAAGGUUAUUCGCCCAAGUGAACUGUCAUCCAAUCAUGGAAACUUCUCGCAAAUCAAGGCUGUCAAUAACAACGUUGAACAGGAAAGGCCAAUGAUUAUCAAACCUACCACGACUUUUCUCGUUUGGGAAUCUUAGCAAAUUAAAAUCACCACCUAGUAGAAUAGGAUAGGGAUUAUCUUUUGCCAGAUUAACCAACUCACGAAGAAAGCCAGCCUUGAACUCAUCUUGGGCUGCACAUACACGGCGACGAGAAACCAUGUGAAGUUGUUGGCUUUGUUGCAGAUAUGCAGUUCAAUAUGACACUCACCAUCUGAACUAGCAACCACAUAGGUACGGAUAUGUGCUACUUCAUGACCUUGUCCCACCGACGAGGCCCUUGUCAGCCCUUAUAAAGGCAUACCGGGGCCGGUAAUUUGGUAGCUAUCUUCGAGGGAUACAACACGACCAGGUGAUCACACAAUUACUAGGAUCAUAUCUCCCAUGUCAGUAGGAUCCCCAAAGUAACGCUCAUGUCCUUAGCCCUUACGAGUGUCUAGAGGAUGAUAACAUGAUAGGGAAACAUUGGGAAAGAGGUCGAAAGGGUGACGACAAAGGAUGGUGUGAUGAAGGCGGCGUCUGACACUGAUGGCGAGCGAGUGCUCAGGCGGUGACGAGGGAAGCAUACCGAUGGCCACGAACAAGGUAGCACCGCCAUAACCUUAAUUAUUAAAGAGAUGGGAUAGGGGCACGAUAAGUGGGCAUGUGAGAUAUUGGGAGGGUUCUCUUUUUUCCAUACCCAUGGAAUUGGUGGGUAAAUAACUAUCAACUUGGGGAAUAAACUCUAAUACCUGGCCUCAAAAGCAACAAAAGGACCUCUUAGACUAAUUUUACUACUUCACUAGUUUUCGAGGUGGCUUGUUAAUAUUAAAGCACAUUUAGCGGUUUUGGUGUUUGGUUUGGCUUCUGGCUUAAAAGGAAGAAAACCACAACCAAUGCCUUACUAGACACAACAAGAGUAUACAAACCAUUCAUACAACACUUCUAUUAUAGACACUUUACCGAAUAAAUGGAAUAACUGGUUUCCUUUGAUAGAUCUUGUUUUUCUCUAAUUUCAUUGGCUUCAUACUCUAAAAAUUAUUAGAGCUCAUUGUAAUAAUUUCAUCUUUGCACGAAAUUCAAUACAACUUCCUCAUUUUCCCUUUAAUUAUACCGUGGCCUGAGAGUUAGUCCUAUCGCACUUAUAAAUACAACUAAUAUCAUAUUGUUGGCCAACAUUCUGCGGAGCCAUGUUUACAACCAUACAUUUUAGGGAUACAAACUAAGACAAUGUCCAACCGUCCACUACUAAUAAAAAAGUAUUUCCUCUGUAAACUAAUAUAAGAGCAUUUAGAUCACUAAACAUUAAUGAUCUAAACGCUCUUAUAUUAGUUUACGGAGGGAGUAAUAAACACGGUGGUGGAGAUAUUUUCCAUUGGUUACCAUUAAAACGUAUAUAGUCGACAUAUUGUAUAAUAUUAUGCGUCCGUGCAUAUACAUAGCCACCGAUAGCAUUCACAUACGAGCAUGCUUUCUCGAGCCAUGUUCGUACAUGAACAUGGACAUACACAUAUUCUUAGGAACAAAUAAGAAAGAUAAAUGGAGAAGGAAAACCCAAAGCAAUGUCAGAGUUGACAAAACUGCAAUGGCACUUUAUAUAUGGCCUGUCGUGAGUGAGCUGUUUAGGCCUUGCCGGACUCCUCGCAGCCCGGUGGCUUGAAGGCGAUGAAGCUGACGCACUGCACCUGACGCAUGUUGUCGAAUCCGAUGAUGCGGACAUAGGCGUCAGGGUACUCCUUCUUGACCUCCUCCACCUCGUUGAUCACCUGCGUGGCGUCGGUGCAUCCGAACAUAGGCAGCUUCCACAUUGUCCAGUACCGGCCAUCGUAGUACCCAGGGGAUGCGUUGUGCUCACGGAAGAUGAACCCAACCUUGCUGAACUCGAGGCAAGGCACCCACUUGGAGCGGAUCAGGUAGUCGACCUGCUUAAGGAGGGCCUCCGUGCUGAGCGGUGGCAAGUAGGACAGGGUCUCGAACUUCUUGAUGCCCUCGAUGGGCCACACCUGCACAUCAGAUUGACAUUUUUGAUACAUUUGAUUGUUAUUGACUUCCGUGAGCUAGAAAAUGAGUAGAAAGACAGAGACGAUGUUGUUUACCUGCAUGCACCUGAUCCUUCCACCGUUGCUGACGCUGCCGAGGCUAGCGCCGUUGGAGCGGCGGCUGACGGGGAGGCCGGCGGUGGACUUGAGCCCCUGGAAAGGAGCGACGGAGGUGGCCGACGAGGCCAUCACGGUGGGGGCCAUGGCUGUACUAUGUAGGUAUAUAGCUUGCUAGGAGGAGGCACUCUGGCUUGAGGACUGCUGUGUUGGGUCAGCAAGGCUUAUAUAACCUUUGGGCCCCUCCUGAGCAACACCAAGAUGUGGAAGGGGUGGCUGAU
rnacentral:lncRNA from 1 species